rnacentral:tRNA from 1 species
UGCCGUGUCGUCCAACAAGCAGGACUCCGGAUUUUGGAUCCGGCUAUGAUGGUGCGAAUCCAUCUGCGGCAGCCA